ensembl:snoRNA
UUAGACCCAAUAAAAAGGCAAAGCCCCCUUCCAGAAAGUCCCCCAUUAAAAAGUCUAUUUGUUUAGUGGGGUGCCUGAGGCCUGCCCCUCACUGUAAGGCAAAUCAAUAGCAGUGCUUGCCUUGCCUCUGGUUCCUGGCAGCUGGCUUCAGGGGGCCCAUGGGUAGGGACCAAAGUGGGACCAGGCAGGAGCCAUCUGAGUGCAGCCUUGGAUCUGACA